UACGUAGGUGGCAAGCGUUGUCCGGAUUUAUUGGGCGUAAAGCGAGCGCAGGCGGUUUUUUAAGUCUGAUGUGAAAGCCUUCGGCUUAACCGGAGAAGUGCAUCGGAAACUGGGAGACUUGAGUGCAGAAGAGGACAGUGGAACUCCAUGUGUAGCGGUGGAAUGCGUAGAUAUAUGGAAGAACACCAGUGGCGAAGGCGGCUGUCUAGUCUGUAACUGACGCUGAGGCUCGAAAGCAUGGGUAGCGAACA
rnacentral:rRNA from 2 species